GCUUGCUUGGACAGGACAUAAGCCAAAAUUGGAAGGAUACACAGAAGAUUGGCAUGGUCCCUGCUGAAGGAUGGCAUGCAAAUUCAUGAACCAUUCCAUAUUAAA